UGGAAGAAAUAGACUUGCCAAUACUUGAAAAGAAAUACCUUGCUGUUCAAUGGCUCCCCAGAAAGUGCUGCAACUACAAAAUAUACAAUUCAUAAUAAAAUAUGUAUUAUUAAGAGUAGUGUUAACACAGGUUGGUUAAAGGCCAGUAGUUGUUAUUAAUGCAAAGAGCUUCUCCUUCGGAGUUGUCUUUCUAGGAACUCAAAAGCUGGGGGCCUUAUCUUCUCCUAACAGGAAGGAGUUUUGCCUGCCUGACUUUUAAUACCACUAGCAACAGAAACCUCCUGGGUCACUGACUGGAGAAGGCUUGUAGCAAGACAACAGCACCAACCACACGGAGACCACUUUGUCUUCUUCAGGUGCUCUUCCUCCUUUGAGCCACUGCCACCAGUGAUGGAGGUGAAAACCUGGAAGCACUUCACUGCCUUUCUGUCUUGCACUGGAUUCCUCCUGGCCCUUUCAAGGGCUCAGGAGAAAGACCCAAAAGCCCUUGACAGAAGUGGUGAAAUUUGGACACUUCUUUGUGCUGAAUUGCACAACAAACAGCAGCAGUAGCUGUGAUAUUCAGGAGAGGUCGUCUCAAAAGUAUGAUUAUAAUGACUUCAGCCCCACCUGGAAAACGUUCACUUUCAUUGUUGUUUACUGGUCACUCCGUGCAUCGUGUGUUGUGACCUGUAAUAAUGAAUCCAACUCUUGGGAAACAAUCGUCACCGUUUACCAAACCCAUUUGGCUAUCAUUGUAGCUGUUACUGCUGUUGCUGCUUUGCUAGUCUCUGUGCUGAUGGUCUUUCUCAUCUUCAUCAUUAAACGUAUCAUUUAAUGCAAUGGAAAGGGCAACUCAAUGAAUCUACACACACACACACACACACACACAUAUGUAUAAUUUGAGAAGAGUGAUCAAAGUAGAUGUUCCGUUUCACGAACAUCUCAUUUGCAAGGAAUAAUGAAUCACAAUAAUGAAUCACUUUGUAUACGGAAAGAAUAUUAAAAACUCACAAUAUGAUAUCCAGGGUUCAUCUUGAGUCUGUGGAAAUUGGAAUCAAGAAAAUGUGUCCCACUCUCUGACACUCUUCUUCCUGCUUGAAAUGUCCCCUUACAAGGUACUAAAGCUGCAAUGAUUGGCUAGUGAGAUGGAUUCUCAUCAAUUCAUAGCUUGAAGGACUGUUUAAAUUUGAGGAUUUUUUGAUAAUUAUAACAUGAGCAAUGAUCAUUCAUAUAUUUUUACAAGGACCAUACUUCCUAGAAGAUGCACAUGUGAAAGGAAUGCCAAUAAUCAUGUAUGAUAAAUUCAUUCUUUUAAUAAACUAACAGAGCAAUACUAUAUUCAUGUAAAUUCACUUUCCCUUCCCAUAGUAUAUAUAAUAUCACAGAUGAAGUGAAUAAUGCAUUUAUUAGCAAUGUAACUCUGUAAUUAUAACACUUUGAGAGCAAGCAGUGAAAUACAAAUGUAUACAAAAUUGGGGACAUUUGCUGCAAAAAAACCCAGCGAAGUGGAGCAUCAGGACAUAAAUUAGCACAAUGAAAUCAAUGCUCAUUUUGUAUCCAACAAUAUUAAUAUUCUAUAUUUCCAGGUAUUCAGAAUAUUUUUUUCAGUAUCUAGCCACAGAAAUUUAAUGGAACAGGACAAUAGCCCAAAUCUGAAUACCUGAAAACUGGUCUUAAGGAGGAAUGAAAAUGUACAGCAAUAAUUUAGUGGAUCAGGGAAUAAGAAUUUAUGAUAGCCAAGUAGACCAGAGAUAAGAAGAAAAACAAUAUAUGCCACAAAAAUUAUAACUGUAAGAAUAACAUCAUAGUACAUAUUGUAAAUGCAACACAACAACCACUGUUAUAAAGACUACCUUACACCACACUGUGUAUGGUAGACUUUCCACCAACAAGUUGCUUUCUCAUUUUAAUUAGUUAAAGAAACAUAGCCCUUAGGAGAGUUACUCCUGAAAUUGUAUCUUCCAAUGGUUGUUUAGCAUAACCUCAAGGAUUUUACAUAGCAAGCAGUCUAUAAAGGAGUGAACAAUUGCUCUUGGACUGCAAAGUAAAAUAAGAGAAGAAAGAAUUUUUUUCAGCUUCUUGUGUUUUACAUGGACAACCCUUGAAAGGCUGAAGAAUUCCUGCAGAACUUUUCUGCAGAACUUGGGAGGGAAGGCUAUUCCAUCAGGCCUGGCUAUUCAGUAGAUGAUAACAUGUCCCUCAAGGCAGUGUUCUAGGACCAACUCUCUUCAUACUCUACAUAAAUGACCUCUGUGAUCAUAUUAAGAGCAAUUGCGUUCUCUUCGCUGAUGAUGUAAAGCUAUUCAACAUCACAGAUAAUUCUGCUAC
rnacentral:lncRNA from 1 species